rnacentral:rRNA from 1 species
GAAUCUGGCUUCAGGUCUGGGACAACCACUGGAAACGGUGGCUAAUACCGGAUGUGCCGAGAGGUGAAAGGCUUGCUGCCUGAAGAUGAGCUCGCGUCUGAUUAGCUAGUAGGUGGGGUAAAAGCCUACCUAGGCGACGAUCAGUAGCUGGUCUGAGAGGAUGAUCAGCCACACUGGGACUGAGACACGGCCCAGACUCCUACGGGAGGCAGCAGUGGGGAAUUUUCCGCAAUGGGCGAAAGCCUGACGGAGCAAUACCGCGUGAGGGAGGAAGGCUCUUGGGUCGUAAACCUCUUUUCUCAGGGAAGAACACAAUGACGGUACCUGAGGAAUCAGCAUCGGCUAACUCCGUGCCAGCAGCCGCGGUAAUACGGAGGAUGCAAGCGUUAUCCGGAAUGAUUGGGCGUAAAGCGUCCGCAGGUGGCUAUGUAAGUCUGCUGUUAAAGAGUGAGGCUCAACCUCAUAAGAGCAGUGGAAACUACAUGGCUAGAGUGCGUUCGGGGCAGAGGGAAUUCCUGGUGUAGCGGUGAAAUGCGUAGAGAUCAGGAAGAACACCGGUGGCGAAAGCGCUCUGCUAGGCCGCAACU